rnacentral:rRNA from 1 species
CCUACGGGCGGCAGCAGUAGGGAAUCUUCCACAAUGGGCGAAAGCCUGAUGGAGCAACGCAGCGUGGGUGAAGAAGGUCUUCGGAUCGUACAACCCUGUUGUUAGAGAAGAAAGUGCGUGAGAGUAACUGUUCAUGUUUCGACGGUAUCUAACCAGAAAGCCACGGCUAACUACGUGACAGCAGCCGCGGUAAUACGUAGGUGGCAAGAGUUAUCCGGAUUUAUUGGGCGUAAAGGGAACGCAGGCGGUCUUUUAAGUCUGAUGUGAAAGCCUUCGGCUUAACCGGAGUAGUGCAUGGGAAACUGGGAGACUUGAGUGCAGAAGAGGAGAGUGGAACUCCAUGUGUAGCGGUGAAAUGCGUAGAUAUAUGGAAGAAAACCAGUGGCGAAAGCGGCUCUCUGGUCUGUAACUGACGCUGAGGUUCGAAAGCGUGGGUAGCAAACAGGAUUAGAUACCCCUGUAGUC